rnacentral:lncRNA from 1 species
UUCAGUUAGUGAUUUCAGUGGGAGCAGAGCCCUCACUCUAUGUUGUAUUUCAAUGGGAGUUUCUUGUGCUUUAUGGGCUUUACAUGAAAAGGACACGCUGUUCUCUUCAAUAUCAACAGCAAAAUCUUCAGCGUUCCUUUUAAUUUCCAGCCAUGCAAAGGAGUUUUCAGACAUGACAACAGGAAGAUUAAUGUUACUGAUUGCUUCCUCUGAUGAAGCCUGAAACACAAGGAAGAAG